rnacentral:rRNA from 1 species
CACGUAGGGCGCAAGCGUUGUCCGGAUUUAUUGGGCGUAAAGAGCGUGUAGGCGGCUUGGUAGGUCCGCUGUGAAAACUCGAGGCUCAACCUCGAGAUGUCGGCGGAAACCACUUGGCUAGAGUCCGGAAGAGGAGAGUGGAAUUCCUGGUGUAGCGGUGAAAUGCGCAGAUAUCAGGAAGAACACCUAUGGCGAAGGCAGCUCUCUGGGACGGUACUGACGCUGAGACGCGAAAGCGUGGGGAGCGAACAGG